UGGGGAAUAUUGCACAAUGGAGGGAACUCUGAUGCAGCGACGCCGCGUGAACGAAGAAGGCUUUCGAGUCGUAAAGUUCUUUUAUAUGGGAAGAUAAUGACGGUACCAUAAGAAAAAGCCCCGGCUAACUACGUGCCAGCAGCCGCGGUAAUACGUAGGUGGCAAGCGUUGUCCGGAAUUAUUGGGCGUAAAGCGCGCGCAGGUGGUUUAGAAAGUCUGAUGUGAAAGCCCACGGCUCAACCGUGGAGGGUCAUUGGAAACUAAUAAACUUGAGUGCAGGAGAGAAAAGUGGAAUUCCUAGUGUAGCGGUGAAAUGCGUAGAGAUUAGGAGGAACACCGGUGGCGAAAGCGGCUUUUUGGCCUGCAACUGACACUGAGGCGCGAAAGCGUGGGAGCAAACAGG
rnacentral:rRNA from 1 species